rnacentral:lncRNA from 1 species
UAUGCUGCGGGAGCAGCCCAAGAAAUGGCAAAAAGACAAAAAAAAAAAAAAAAAGCAGGUUAAAGAGUAGUUCCAGAGCAUUUUAUUCUGUUCUGUUUGGUUGUAGCAAAUUGAACCAGCGAGCCUUCCCUCUGAACUUCUAGAGUCCCUUUGAUUUGGCAACAAGACAAAUGACUAAUGCCACGUGAUUAAACUUGGUAUUUUACACCUAGGUCUGCGAGCUUUUACGCUUCCAACUCUGAGAGCAGAGACUGCGGCUGGUUCUGUCUGCAGCUCGGUGCAUGGGAUGGUUGCUUUUUGGUUCAUCAAAAAAUGGAGGCUCUGACAGAGAGGUUCUGUGUAAUAGCGCUUGACCAUUUCAAGUGUCUCAAAAGCUCCAACUUUGUACAAACUUUCCAAUCCACCAGAAAAGGAAUGUCAACAGCUAUAGAAGAAAGUAGAAGAUUGGAAGGAUCAUUAGAGUUGGGUGAAGUUUCUAGACUCUCUGAGAAGUGAGCUCACUAAUGGUGGCUGGGGAGGUGUGCUGAAUAUCCUGCAGGGGAUGUGGCCUGCGCAGGACCUCACAGGACAAAGGGGUGGACUGUUACCCACAGCUCUUUGAAUGUCUCCUCAGCUCCUUCGUUCCUGAUGGUUCCCUUCCUGAAACCUCCAUUAAAUUUCCAGCAGCGUCAAGAUGCUGCUGUUUAGGAAGGCACACCUGUGGAGAGAGGGUAGCGGAUGUGAAUUAAAAGACACCUUGUAUCUUUUUCCGAGUAUCUUUUCAAUUUAUUGAUUAUAGGGAGGCUACCUGAUAAAUCUGACUCUACCAUUUUUCCAUUGCUAACAGAUUGGCAUUGAAUCAGGCCGUGAACUCAUGCUAAAUAAUUUCCCUUACCACGAAUUAGUUUGGCUGCCUUUUGUGAAAUUGCUUUUUGGUUAGUUCUAAUGUCCAGUUCUUUUUUAACGUUUAUGUCUAGCAGGCAUUUGGUCUAUGUAUCAGUUACAACGUGGAGAAUGUUAGGCCUGAGCAGAACCAACCCAGUCUCAUUUUUGCAGCUGAGCUGAGACAGGAGUUGUUCACGGUCACCGUGCAAGAGGUGGCGUUUUUUGCUUUUUGUUAGGUGGCACAACCUCUGUAAGUUUGGGAGUGGGGAGCUUGUUUGACUUCAGAUCCAUGCCGAGUUCCCAAUAAAAGGAUGACAGUUUGUGUUUAUGCAUCUAAACUAGUAACCCCUGGUUUGGGUCAAUACAAGUUAAAUGAAAAACACGUUUUCCUAAUAACCUAAGCUGUAGUUCUUUUUGAUUGUGAAAUCUUUGAAACCUGGGCAGUUUACCCCCAAAACCAAUGCAUAUGUUAGAUUUGGAGCUUAAAUUAUGGUGAAAAGCCCUCACUGCACAUAAAGCUAUCACCAUUUAUGCAACAUUUUUUGUCCUUCACAAAGUUGAAAUCUGGGAGUUCCCGUCGUGGCGCAGUGGUUAACGAGUCCGACAGGAACCAUGAGGUUGCGGGUUCGAUCCCUGGCCUCGCUCAGUGGGUUAAGGAUCUGGCGUUGCCUUGAGCUGUGCAGAUGCUGCUCGGAUCCCACGUUGCUGUGGCUCUGGCAUAGGCCGGCAGCUACAGCUCCGAUUAGACCCUUAACCUGGGAACCUCCAUAUGCAGCGGGAGCAGCCCCAGAAAAAACAAAG